rnacentral:tRNA from 1 species
UGGGGAGUGGUGUAAUGGCAACACGUCACACUCUGGAUGUGAAAUUUGGGGUUCAAGUCCCUACUCCCCAG